rnacentral:rRNA from 1 species
AAAUUGAAGAGUUUGAUCAUGGCUCAGAUUGAACGCUGGCGGCAGGCCUAACACAUGCAAGUCGAACGGUAACAGGAAGAAGCUUGCUUCUUUGCUGACGAGUGGCGGACGGGUGAGUAAUGUCUGGGAAACUGCCUGAUGGAGGGGGAUAACUACUGGAAACGGUAGCUAAUACCGCAUAACGUCGCAAGACCAAAGAGGGGGACCUUCG